rnacentral:RNase_P_RNA from 1 species
AAGGGCUUCCGGGUGGCUGCGUGGAUAAUCCCACGAGGAACUUCCGGGCUCCAUAGAGCGCGAUGGCGGGUAACGCCCGCCCAGGGAAACCUGAGAGAAAGCGCAACAGAAAACAUACCGCCCCCCUGUCGGGGGUAAGGGCGAAAAGGCGGUGUAAGAGACCACCGGGCACUUUGGUAACAAAGGCCGCAGGCAAACCUCAUCGGGAGCAAGAUCAAGUAGGAUGCAUUGAAGUUGCUCGCUUCGCAUCCGGGUAGAUCGCUUGAUUUGCCUGGCAACAGGCAAACUAGAUGGAUAGCCACCCGCGCCUCAUUUCAAGGCGUGACAGAACCCGGGGUAUAGGAAGCCCCAAUCU